rnacentral:ncRNA from 1 species
CCACGAUAAGAGCAAACCAUCUGAAAGGAUGGGACGCAGAGUCACAAGCCCUCGGUGGUGAGGCGAAAAAAAGCACCAGGGUGGUUGGGCCGCCGAA